rnacentral:rRNA from 1 species
GACGAACGCUGGCGGCGUGCUUAACACAUGCAAGUCGAACGAAGAGCGAUGGAAGCUUGCUUCUAUCAAUCUUAGUGGCGAACGGGUGAGUAACGCGUAAUCAACCUGCCCUUCAGAGGGGGACAACAGUUGGAAACGACUGCUAAUACCGCAUACGAUCUAAUCUCGGCAUCGAGGAAAGAUGAAAGGUGGCCUCUAUUUAUAAGCUAUCACUGAAGGAGGGGAUUGCGUCUGAUUAGCUAGUUGGAGGGGUAACGGCCCACCAAGGCGAUGAUCAGUAGCCGGUCUGAGAGGAUGAACGGCCACAUUGGGACUGAGACACGGCCCAGACUCCUACGGGAGGCAGCAGUGGGGAAUCUUCCGCAAUGGACGAAAGUCUGACGGAGCAACGCCGCGUGAGUGAUGACGGCCUUCGGGUUGUAAAGCUCUGUUAAUCGGGACGAAAGGCCUUCUUGCGAACAGUUAGAGGGAUUGACGGUACCGGAAUAGAAAGCCACGGCUAACUACGUG